rnacentral:rRNA from 1 species
AUCUACAGCCAUAUCACCUUGAACAAGCCUGAUCCUGUCUGAUCUCGGAAGCUAAGCAGGGUUGGACCUGCUUAGUACUUGGAUGGGAGACCACCUAGGAAGACCAGGUGCUGUAGGUG